GGCACGGCACGGCGGCAGGGCGGCACGGCGCGGCGGCGCCGUCGCACCCCCCUUUGCCGGCGCGCGCACUCACCCGAGAGUGAGUGCGCCGCCGUCGAGCGGCUGUGCAGCGGCGCCCGGCAAGCCGGCGGCGCGGCGCCGCCCCCUCUUUUCUCUCCCGCGUCGGCGUGAGGACGACCGGUGGUGGCAUGACUCCCGCGCGCGUCGGCGGCGGCCGGCGGCGGCGGUAGGUGAGUCUUUUCUUUUCGACCCGUGCGGAUCGUGUGCUGUUCUUUCUUUUGCUCUUUUCCGGGGAUCAAUUCCCCUCUUCUUUUUAUUUGGAUUUCUAUCCCCGAACCGAUCUAAGCCCUAGGGUUGGUCUGAUACCAUUGUUAGAGUUCUCUGUUGGAUCACCUAGGUUUAGAUCUAGUCGGGUUGUCUCUAUUGGGUUGAUGAACGACAUUGUAGAUGAAAGGGAGAGGGUUUAGAUACCGACCGGUUGAGGUGUUCGUGGAGGAAAGGGCGCCGGACAUCGUCGCUGUCGUUGCGGCUCGACGUGGACGGCGGCGACGGUGUGCUUGGUGCCAAUGGCGGUGAUGCAGCAGCGGUCGCAGGCAGUGACGCGGUUGCGGCAGCGAUGGUGUCGACGACGAGGCGUGGCGCGGCGGUGGACUUCCCGUCACUGGCUACGCCCCCCUCGAGAUCGGUUUAGGGUUUGUGGGGUGGAGCGGCGGCGGCGACGAACCUCGUCUCUAGUGCCGCCCCGUCCUCCACCCCUUUUUAUAUGGCACAGGGUGACGGGGGCCCACCAGCCAUUGGGCUGGGCGCCCCCGAUUAGGGCGCGGGUCAAGGCCCCCUUGAGCCGUUGGACUCAAGGGGAGGGAGAUCCAUCUAACAGAACCAUUACUGAGACCUGACAUAAGUUAUUGUUGCCAAGCUUAUCAUAAAACUCACAAGCAACUUCAACUUCUGGAUGAAUUAAUUUUUGUUGAAAUUUGAAGGGACACCAAUGAAAUUUAGCAGCAACAGUGUCGUCUUGCAUAUAAGUCAUGGCCAUGUGGAAAAUUCAGAGAUUGGCAGCACUGAAAGGAGAACUCUCUUUUUUUGCUGCAACUACUCCUGGGUUUAUGAUCGCUUAUUUUCCCGCAUUUUUUACAAAACUACUGGUGGUAUAGUCUAAUAGAGAAAGUUACACCUCUUCAAAACAGUAACAAUUUUAUAUUUUUCUGAAUAUUUUAUCAUUAUUCAUGAACGUAAUAAUGUGGAUUGCACCGACCCUGAACUCCACCUGGGCCAGAUGUGUAAUGAAACGAGUGGCUACAUAGCAAUGAAGGAAUAAGUUCAUUUUAGGUCCCUCAUCUUUACGUCGGAUAUGAAUUACAUCCUUCAACCGCAAUACCAGAUAUAACUUUUGCAAAACCGGUGUACUCGAGAUCCCAGUACAUACAAUACAAUACCAUGUUUUAGCUGCGUGACGAGUAGGACCCACGUGUCAGCGACCAACGUAACUCUUCUUCCUCCCCUCUUCCCUUUCUUCCCCAUCCCUCUUCAGGCGCGAUUCAAGGAUGAUCAAGUUUGUUUCUGAUCGUGGGAUGGCGCGAUUCAAAGAUCUAGUAGAUGUUUAAUCGGUCUCACUUAUAUAUGUAUAUACAUAUAUAUAUAUAUAUAUAUAACUGACACUCUCUAGCGGAGGAGAAUGAAAGGGGAAGAAAAAAAACGCCUUCUUUGGUUGUUCCUGAUCUGUUCUUCAGUCUUGUGAAGAUUGUUUCUUCAGUUUACUGUUCACUGUAGAGAGAGUUUCAGGUUUCAGAGUUAAGCGAGAGUGCGAGUUGCGAGCGAUUGCCGCUCUACCGGUGAAGCUGCAGAGGCAAAUCGAUCUCCUCGCUCGCUGCAAGUGCAGUACAACGAGAUGAUGGAGAGGAGCCUCCGCUAGAUGAUUAUUCCAUCAAUACUCUCUCUCCAUUUUUUGUGAUUUGUUCCAUUGAUUCAGAUUCAUACGCAGCAGCUAAAACACACAGAAAAUACUUGCAGAGGAGACAAAUCAAUACCUUUUUUCCUUUUUGCCUCCCUUUCUUUCAAUUGAGUUGGAUUUUGGUUUGGUUCAAUGGUUGACACUUGAUAUCUGUAAAUAAGUUAUUUUUAGGAGAAGUAUCUUAAAUAAGUAAAUUUUUGCAUUUGAGGCAUCUUCGACGCGAAUGAGAACAUUCAGUUGCCGCAAGCGCCAUCGCAUCACCGAGCCGCCCCCAUCGAUGCGUCUAGGGGAGUACUAUCAGAUGACCUAAUUUAACCUGGUUUUGUAAGUUUGGGUUUUUGGUAAAUAUGAGAGACCAAAAGUGAACUUAUUGCAAGCCUGAAUGAUAUAUUACUUGGGCCGGAUUAAGUUGCUGUUAUCAAGUCUGUCAAAAUUGUAUGAUUUAGGCCUUUAUAAAAAUUAAGACCCAAAUUGUAAGAAGCAUUAGUUCCUCUUGCUAAGGCCCAAACCAACUACAGAUCAUGCAAUCCACAUCCAGAUGAGAAAACAUACACACUCGAAUUUAGGCCCAACUUGAAUUUUGUUAUUUCUUUCUUUUUUCAUGUAAUGGAGUUUUUCUUCUUUCUUUGAAGAGAGAGAGAGAGGUGGAAAGGUCUAAAAAUGGGCCAUGAGAGAGAGAGACAGAGAGAGAGAGAGAGAGAGAGAGAGAGAGAGGUGGAAAGGUCUAAAAAUGGGCCAUGGUGGUAGGUGUGUGUGAAGGAAGUAUUUUUCCCCAGCUACAGUUUGGUCGAUAUGUACUUUUUAACGAACUUUUGCAAAAGUGAGAUGGCUUUUAGGAGUGACGAGUUGAGUCGAGAGUACUAGUACAAAGAUGCUUGACGCAUAUGCUAUAUUAUGCAUGAUUGGAAAUAGAAAAGCAUGAUCUUUUUUUUCUCAGAAUAUCGAAAAAUCUGAUCAUAUGAUCGGGAGUUUAUCAGAUUUUAUAAAACUAGCAAAAUAUCCGUGUGUGUGUUGUAGCUAACUCUAGUUAUAUUACUAGUUAUAUUAGAUGAGUUUACUAAAACAAAAUUAUCGCUCAAAUUCUGAUUAUCUAAUGAUAAUUAAUAAGAUAAAUAUAAUGUUGUACCGUAUACAUGAAGCAAAUUAAUAGAGCUUCUCACUCCAAGAUACUCUCUCUUCUAAAUUAUAAGGCCUAUAUUUUUUACACAGUUUUCAAUAGUAUACUUUGAUCAGUAUUUUAUUUCAUUCUAUGAUCCUAACAAAUAUGAAAUUAGUAUCAUAUGAAAGUAUUUUAAAAUAUGAAUCUAAUGAUAUAACAUGUAUAAUACUUAGUAUAGUUAUAAUUAGUAUGAUUAUUAGUAAAAAAAAACUACCGAGUUUAAUUUUUCUUAAAAAGAUGACGGGCGCCUUAUGUAUAAUUUGGGACGGAGGGAGUAGUAUAGUUAAGCUAGCGAGUGUAGUAGCUGUCAGUUUAAAGUUUUGACCCGGUCGGUUCUUUUUACCUGUUUAUCUAUCGACCUCGAUGUGGACGGAUGGAGACAUAGUCCUUUACCUGACGUGAGACAACGCUACCACGUACACUACGCUCCGCUACCGAUCAGAAUCUUAGGGCUUGUUCAGGGAGCUUCUGACAAUCAGAAUUUCUCUCACAACUAAAAACUCCCCUAAACAACAAUUUAGCUUAAUUUUUCAUAUUCCGAGAAUUUAUUAUUGUAGUUGAAGAAUUUAAAAAAUGGACUAAAAACCAAAGAUUUCCACUUUGCUUGUCAGUCAGUUGUCUUAGAAUUUAGAUGGUCAUAAAUAAGAUCUGAAGAGCUAGCUCCAUAAGGUGUUGGGCUAAACGAUUUGGGUUCGAAGUCUCACCCCUUCUAAGUAUUUUGAUAUUAGGUCAUUCCUUAAUAUUUGCGUCUAUUAGAACUGAAGAAGCAGAUGCACUCUAGCUUAGUCGUAAUUUUGAAAUUUUGACUAUAACUUAUUCUAAAUGAUAAAUAUUUUUGAACGAAAGGAGGAGAAUAUAAAAGUAAGCUAGGACGUGCUGCGAUGUUUCUAUAGAGAAUGCAUCUGCGCGCGCGUACUACGUGGGUAAAGCAGGGCCGUGUGUUGAGAGAAUUUUCAGUACACAGUAGACAAAAACCCAUGGAGUAUAUAUAUACACCGAUCGACAAUUAAUUAAUAGACCAUGACAACCGUUGGCAUGAGCACGCGAUAGAUCGAUGGAGUUUAUAUGUUAUGAUCAAUGCAGUGGUAGUACAUACAUACAACCUGACAGACCACGACACAUGUAAAAUCAACUAAUCAACCAGUGUACAUGCAUGUACAUGGUUGUACUAUACUCCCUCCGUAAAAAAAAAAUCCUUAACUUGAAAACCCUUCUAGUUCAGGUUCAUUAAUAUUAUUAUAGGGGAGUUUGUUUUUUUUUAACGGUGGGAGUAUGUACUAUCCACCAUGUUUAACAAAUUAAAAGUAUCUAGGUGAGUAUGCAGGUUGGUGAGAGUCUGAAAAAUCUUUGUUUCUCAAUUUCUAUUUCUAAUUUCUAGUUUAUUUUUUAAGAUUACGUAACUACAUCGAUUUUUACAAAUCCUUAAGAGAAUUUAAGUGCUGAUCGAAGUUGUCCAGAGAAUUUAGAGAUUUUGAAGAAAAAAAUAGUUGUAGCUUUCAUAACAGGGUUAUUGUCAGACAUCAUCGUCACAUAUUCCUACAUAUAUUUACAUAUAUAUGUAUAUAUAUAUACGUCAUAUCAUCGACUGAUCUCGAGUCCAUACCGGCCAUUCCAAAUGCAUGUGGUCCUCAUCUCUAAAAUGUGCUGCUCAUCCAUCCAAGUCGCUCAAUAUUCAUUAACCUAUAGAUACCUUGGCUACAUGCAUGCAUGCGUGCUAGCAGCUUUUAAUUCAGGUGAGAAUAAUUAACGUAUAUAUCUAUAUGAUCCGGAUAUGUGCUUGGCUGUUUUUUUUUUUCAAACGUAUAAAAUGAUUGCAUGUCAGUAUAUAUUAGAAGAAAGCAAAGUUUCGAUUAUGUAACACAAAUGGCUAGAAGGCUAUUGCCGGAUGACAAGAUCUUGUAAGAAACUACUUAAAGAAAAUAAAAACUCAUAUAACGAGAGAGUGCAGGUGAAGCCCCAUUAAACACCAACAAGCUAGCACCCCCAAAAAAAACAAAUAAAAACAUUGCUAUAGUGCUUUCUUGCUUGGCUGUUCGAAUUUAAUUACUCUCUCCGUUCUAAAAUAUAACAACCUGGUUGCUACUAUUAGACAUAACUUUAAUAUUACAAAUAUGAACAGACUUUGCUAUACUAGAUUAUUAUAUUUUAGGAAGAGGAGUAUAUAAAUUCUAUUCGUGCAACGCACGUGGCCUAUGACGCACACACAUGGAUACAGCAUCAUACGUACAUUAUCAAGUGAGGAUAUGCGCGUAUGUACUCUUAUAUACACAUUCAAGGGACGGAAACUAAAGAUAAAUUCAAUUUCUGAGCUUAUAUUAACUACUAAUUUUGUACUGAAAAUUCACUCGUGUGUGGAUAACUAUUGGCACAAAAAUUAAUGAAAAGAACUUAUAAUCAUGAUCACUAGAUACAGUCUGCGCUGACAACUCUACCAUCACAACCUUAAUAAUUAGCGAUUGGAACUUAAUUUUUUUAAUUUCAAACAAAUGUUAGUUCCGAUCAUUAUCUAAACAUUUAAAAAACAUUCCUUUUUAAAUAAGGAAUUAAGAGAGAGAUGAUGAUUACAUACGGAUAAAAACAUUAAUUAGUUUCGACAGACGAUCGAGUGCGACGUACGUGCGCCCCCGUCAUGUAUUCUUUAGGCAUCAAUGCAGCAAGAAUAAUUCAGCGUAUAAUUGAAAUAUUAUUUUUGCUAAUUAAUUGACGCAGACCGAAUUGAAAUGUAUGCAUAUGCAUAAUAUGAUAUGAAUGGUAUACGUACGCACAUACUAUACGUACGUACAUUUACAACGUAUAGUACGUAUAUAUAUACACAGUGCAAUGUGGUCCAGUAGACAGGGCGACGUGCAGGGGAUCGUGAGAAAGCAAGGAAUAAUUAAUGAUUAGUCGAUGUGACACCUUAUCCAAGAACUAAAUGCAUGUGUACAUUAUACACAGCUAUAUAUAAUAUUGUACCGAUAUUUUGUUGUUGUAAUAUAAUUUGUCAUUAAUUUGGCUGCAGAUAUAUGCAACAAGAGUCUCUGUGAUGGAUGUGUAUGUGUAUAGCUAGGCAUACUAGCUAGCCGGUCAACAUAUCUCUCUGUAUGUAACAUGCACUCGAUCGCACGAGUAGAUGAGAAUGUGCGAAAUAUAUGUGUGAUUGUAAGUUAUCCGUCAUUAAAUAAAUAAUUAAUUAAUAUAUAUUUUUCCUAGG
rnacentral:lncRNA from 1 species